AUGUCGUGUCUUACAAGGAAGAAAAAGAACCCAAACAUUUCCAUUUAUUCAUCUCACAGCUCUCCUGUCUGCAGGUUUAGAACAAAAUUAAGUUCAAAAAAUUCUGAAGAAUUCCCUGGUUAAGCAUAUGAAAAAAGUUUUCUACAGACUUCUCUAUGCGCAGUGAUGAGUUCAGAUAUUGAAUAUCUUGGAGCAGUAUUGGCAAAAUAAUAACAACAUGCAGAGCAAGUAGGAUUGAGAGGCAGUGGGGUAAGUUUCUUGCACACUGAGUUCCUUUAAUGUUGAUUCAAAUUUUAAAGGGAUAUCAUGAUGUGUUAACAUCUCGGAAAUCCUCUAACAGAUUAAACCCGUUAUUAUGAAUAUUCUUUUACCCUCAAAUACAAAAGCACUAGAAGACUGUUGUAAGAUAAGCUAACAUGGAAAAAACUUCAUACUUCCCUCUCAUGAGAAGCGUUUUAAGUGUUCAAGCCCAGAGCCUGGUAAGCUCUGGGCCUGGUAAGCCAGCUCAGGCAUCGCUUCUAGCCUCUGACUUCAGGUAAGAUUUUAUUGUCUUACAGAACACUCCGGAGUUCAACCUUCCUUCCAAACCAACAAAAAACAAAACAAAACCCCCUUCCCCAAAAAACAAACUAAGGGCCUAAACUCACCCUCACUUCGAAAGCCAUUAUAUUUUGAUCCUGUAUUGAUUCCUGACCCAAGGAAUACUGUCUUAUCUAGGGUUAACGUUAAAAAAAAAAAAAAGU
rnacentral:lncRNA from 1 species